CUGGGGAGUACGAUCGCAAGGUUGGAACUCAAAGGAAUUGACGGGGGCCCGCACAAGCGGUGGAGUAUGUGGUUUAAUUCGAAGCAACGCGAAGAACCUUACCAGGGCUUGACAUGGGGAUGACCGGACUAGAGAUAGUCUUUUCCCUUCGGGGACAUCCCACACAGGUGGUGCAUGGUUGUCGUCAGCUCGUGUCGUGAGAUGUUGGGUUAAGUCCCGCAACGAGCGCAACCCUUAUUGUUAGUUGCUACGCAAGAGCACUCUAGCGAGACUGCCGUUGACAAAACGGAGGAAGGUGGGGACGACGUCAAAUCAUCAUGCCCCUUAUGUCCUGGGCCACACACGUACUACAAUGGUGGUCAACAGAGGGAAGCAAUACCGCGAGGUGGAGCAAAUCCCUAAAAGCCAUCCCAGUUCGGAUCGCAGGCUGAAACCCGCCUGCGUGAAGUUGGAAUCGCUAGUAAUCGCGGAUCAGCAUGCCGCGGUGAAUACGUUCCCGGGCCUUGUACACACCGCCCGUCACACCAUGAGAGUCGGGAACACCCGAAGUCCGUAGUCUAACCGCAAGGGGGACGCGGCCGAAGGUGGGUUCGAUAAUUGGGGUGAAGUCGUAACAAGGUAGCCGU
rnacentral:rRNA from 1 species